GAGUAGUUCUUCCUAUAGAACUACCAAUUCGAAUAUUAAUCUCAUCAGAAGAUGUGCUACACGCAUGAACAGUACCCUCUUUAGGGUUAAAAGCAGAUGCUGUUCCUGGACGAUUAAACCAAGCUACCCUAACCUCUACACGCCCUGGGGUUUAUUUUGGUCAAUGCUCAGAGAUUUGUGGUUCCAAUCACAGCUUUAUACCUAUUGUACUAGAAAUAUCGACCUUAAAAUACUUUGAAAAUUGAUCACAUAUAAUGCAAACAUCUUUGAAAAAUCAAAAUAAUACUUAAGUAUUUAUAGAGUUUAACGCUCUCUCAAAGCUAUGCCUCAAUUAGAAACAUCAGCAUGAUUUCACGUUGCCGGCCUAACUAUCAUUAAUAUUUUCUGUCUAUUCCAACUACAACUCAUCGGUAUUGAAAUAAUCUAUAUUUAUCCUCCAGAAGAAAUCCUCAAACUCCCAGAAAUUCCGUUCCCCUGAGAGAAAAAAUGAACGAAAAUUUAUUUGCCCCUUUCAUCUGCCCUACUAUUAUAGGCAUUUCCACUCUACCGAUUAUUAUAAUCUUCCCUUGUCUUAUCUUCACAACAUCUAAACGUUGACUCCCCAAUCGAAUUCAAAUCCUACAAAUCUGACUCAUCCGACUGAUUACUAAACAAAUAAUAACAAUACAUAAUAAUCUAGGUCGCACAUGAGCUCUUAUACUCAUAACUCUUAUCCUAUUUAUUGCCACAACUAAUCUUUUAGGUCUUCUACCUUAUUCAUUUACCCCAACAACACAACUUUCAAUAAAUAUUAGUAUAGCUAUCCCUCUUUGGAUAGCAACUGUACUUUUAGGUUUUCGAAACAAACCAAAAGCCUCAUUCGCUCACUUCCUACCACAAGGAACUCCAACACUUCUUGUUCCUAUAUUAAUUAUUAUCGAAACUAUCAGCCUUUUUAUUCAACCGUUAGCAUUAGCAAUCCGAUUAACAGCUAACAUCACUGCUGGUCACCUACUAAUUCACUUAAUUAGCUCCGCUGCUUUAGCAUUGGUUUCCGUUAACAUUGUACUAUCCUCAAUCACACUCAUUGUCCUCUUUCUUCUAACCAUCUUAGAACUGGCUGUUGCUAUAAUCCAAGCCUAUGUCUUCACCCUAUUAGUAAGUUUAUACUUACACGAUAACACAUAAUUACAUAUUAGCAUCGUAAUAUAUAAUGAUACCUAAUGACCCACCAAACCCAUGCUUACCAUAUAGUAAACCCUAGCCCAUGACCACUAACAGGAGCUAUAUCAGCUCUACUCCUUACCUCAGGAAUAAUUAUAUGAUUUCAUUUCCAUUCUACCCUACUUCUAUUUAUGGGACUUUCAACUAUACUUCUAACAAUAUACCAAUGAUGACGAGAUAUUGUACGAGAAGGCACCUAUCAAGGACAUCACACCCCUGUAGUCCAAAAAGGUCUGCGCUACGGCAUAGUCCUUUUCAUUACAUCAGAAGUUUUCUUUUUCCUAGGCUUUUUCUGAGCUUUCUACCAUUCAAGCCUAUCUCCAGCUUUAGAAUUAGGAGGCUGCUGACCCCCUGUAGGAAUCUACCCCUUAAUCCACUAGAAGUACCAUUAUUAAAUACAGCUAUUCUCUUGGCUUCAGGUGUUUCUAUCACUUGAGCCCAUCACAGCUUAAUAGAAGGUAAUCGCAAACAAAUAAUUCAAGCUUUAACAACUACUAUUGCUUUUGGCCUGUAUUUUACAAUUCUACAAGCCACAGAAUAUUACAAAGCCCCUUUUACUAUCUCUGAUGGAAUUUACGGAUCAACAUUCUUUGUAGCAACAGGCUUCCAUGGUUUACAUGUAAU
rnacentral:lncRNA from 1 species